CUGCCUUCCACUUCGGCAGCACAUAUACUAAAAUUGGAACGAUACAGAGAAGAUUAGCAUGGCCCCAGCGCAAGGAUGACACGCAAAUUUGUGAAACGUUCCGUAAAAAA
ensembl:snRNA U6 U6 spliceosomal RNA